CCUACGGGAGGCAGCAGUGAGGAAUAUUGGUCAAUGGACGAGAGUCUGAACCAGCCAAGUAGCGUGAAGGAUGACUGCCCUAUGGGUUGUAAACUUCUUUUAUAAAGGAAUAAAACGAGGCACGUGUGCCUUUUUGCAUGUACUUUAUGAAUAAGGAUCGGCUAACUCCGUGCCAGCAGCCUCGGUAAUACGGAGGAUCCGAGCGUUAUCCGGAUUUCUUGGGUUUAAAGGGAGCGUAGAUGGGUUGUUAAGUCAGUUGUGAAAGUUUGCGGCUCAACCGUAAAAUUGCAAUUGAUACUGGCAGUCUUGAGUACAGUUGAGGUAGGCGGAAUUCGUGGUGUAGCGGUGAAAUGCUUAGAUAUCACGAAGAACCCCGAUUGCGAAGGCAGCUUACUAAACUGUGACUGACAUUGAUGCUCGAAAGUGUGGGUAUCAAACAGGAUUAGAUACCCUGGUAGUC
rnacentral:rRNA from 1 species